GGUAUAAGCUUUUGUGUGCAUGCACACUUCUUCAGAUAUGAAUCUAUCAAAUAUGAAUCUGAAGAAGUGUGCAUGCACACAAAAGCUUAUACC